rnacentral:rRNA from 1 species
UACGAAGGGAGCUAGCGUUGUUCGGAAUCACUGGGCGUGAAGCGCACGUAGGCGGACGUGUCAGUCAGGGGUGAAAUCCCGGAGCUCAACUUCGGAACUGCCUUUGAUACAGCACGUCUUGAGUCCGGAAGAGGUGGGUGGAAUUCCUAGUGUAGAGGUGAAAUUCGUAGAUAUUAGGAAGAACACCGGUGGCGAAGGCGGCCCACUGGUCCGGUACUGACGCUGAGGUGCGAAAGCGUGGGGAGCAAACAGG